CCCGAAUCCUGACCCGAAUUCUAAGGAGAUCCGCUACCGCGGCGUUAGGAAGCGCCCAUGGGGCCGUUACGCAGCCGAGAUCCGAGACCCGAGGAAAAAGACUCGAGUCUGGCUCGGCACCUUCGACACCGCCGAGGAAGCAGCGCGUGCUUACGAUGCGAAGGCGCGAGAGUUCCGCGGCGCUAAGGCGAAAACAAAUUUCGCCGACAACAACGCCAACGACUUCACGCGCAGCCCUAGCCAGAGCAGCACCGUGGAGUCUUCUUCUCCGCCGCCACUUGACCUUACUCUGGCCAGCCCGUGUUCUUCCCUCCCUGUGACGGCGCAGCGUCCUGUUUACUUCUUCAAUGCCUUCGCUACUGGCGGUUCGGGUUGCCCCGCAUCCGGAUUCGCUCAAA
rnacentral:lncRNA from 1 species